UACGGGGGGGGCAAGCGUUGUUCGGAAUUACUGGGCGUAAAGGGCUCGUAGGCGGCUCCUUAAGUCAGACGUGAAAUCCCUCGGCUUAACCGGGGAACUGCGUCUGAGACUGAAGAGCUUGAAUCCGGGAGAGGGAUGCGGAAUUCCAGGUGUAGCGGUGAAAUGCGUAGAUAUCUGGAGGAACACCGGUGGCGAAGGCGGUUCUCUGGGCCUUACCUGACGCUGAGGAGCGAAAGCGUGGGGAGCGAACAGG
rnacentral:rRNA from 1 species